UACGAAGGGGGCUAGCGUUGCUCGGAAUUACUGGGCGUAAAGGGCGCGUAGGCGGCACUGUUAGUCAGGCGUGAAAGUCCUGGGCUCAACCUGGGAACUGCGCUUGAUACGGCAGAGCUAGAGGAUGGAAGAGGGUCGCGGAAUUCCCAGUGUAGAGGUGAAAUUCGUAGAUAUUGGGAAGAACAUCGGUGGCGAAGGCGCUCUACUGGACCACAACUGACACUCAGGGACGAAAGCUAGGGGAGCGAAUGGG
rnacentral:rRNA from 1 species